GAAAUACUCCCUCCAUCCCAAAAUUCUUGUCUUAGAUUUGUCUAAAUACGGAUGUAUCAAGUCACGUUUUGGUUUUAGAUACAUCUGUAUCUAGACUAAUCUAAGACAAGAAUUUUGGGACGCAGGGAGUAUAAG
rfam:Triticum urartu cultivar G1812 contig486621, whole genome shotgun sequence.